rnacentral:rRNA from 1 species
ACUCCUGCGGGAGGCAGCAGUAGGGAAUCUUCCACAAUGGGUGCAAACCUGAUGGAGCAAUGCCGCGUGAGUGAAGAAGGUCUUCGGAUCGUAAAGCUCUGUUGUUAGAGAAGAACACGUGCUAGGUAACUACUAGCGCCUUGACGGUAUCUAACCAGAAAGUCACGGCUAACUACGUGCCGGCAGCCGCGGUAAUACGUAGGUGACAAGCGUUGUCCGGAUUUAUUGGGCGUAAAGGGAGCGCAGGCGGUCUGUUUAGUCUAAUGUGAAAGCCCACGGCUUAACCGUGGAACGGCAUUGGAAACUGACAGACUUGAAUGUAGAAGAGGAAAAUGGAAUUCCAAGUGUAGCGGUGGAAUGCGUAGAUAUUUGGAGGAACACCAGUGGCGAAGGCGAUUUUCUGGUCUAACAUUGACGCUGAGGCUCGAAAGCGUGGGGAGCGAACAGGAUUAGAUACCCUUGUAGUCC